CCUACGGGUGGCAGCAGUGAGGAAUAUUGGUCAAUGGGCGCGAGCCUGAACCAGCCAAGUCGCGUGAGGGAGGACUGCCCUACGGGUUGUAAACCUCUUUUGCCGGGGAGCAACGGGCGUCACGUUUGGCUCCACUGAGCGUACCCGGACAAAAAGCAUCGGCUAACUCCGUGCCAGCAGCCGCGUUAAUACGGAGUAUGCGAGCGUUAUCCGGAUUUAUUGGGUUUAAAGGGUGCGCAGGCGGAAGAUCAAGUCAGCGGUAAAAUUGAGAGGCUCAACCUCUUCGAGCCGUUGAAACUGGUUUUCUUGAGUGAGUGAGAAGUAUGUGGAAUGCGUGGUGUAGCGGUGAAAUGCAUAGAUAUCACGCAGAACUCCGAUUGCGAAGGCAGCAUACCGGCGCUCAACUGACGCUCAUGCACGAAAGUGUGGGUAUCGAACAGGAUUAGAUACCCCUGUAGUC
rnacentral:rRNA from 1 species